rnacentral:rRNA from 1 species
GACGAACGCUGGCGGCGUGCUUAACACAUGCAAGUCGAACGGAGAGGGGAGCGGGGGAGGAACACGUGGGGGAGCUGCGCCUCACUUUGGGGUAAGCGUGGGAAACAGGGUCUAAUACCGGGUAGUGUGGGAGGGGCCCGCGGCCUAUCAGAUCGUUGGGGGGGGAAUGGCCUAACAAGGCGGCGACGGGUAGCCGGCCUGAGAGGGUGGACGGCCACAUUGGGACUGAGACACGGCCCAGACUCCUACGGGAGGCAGCAGUGGGGAAUAUUGCACAAUGGGCGGAAGCCUGAUGCAGCGACGCCGCGUGGGGGAUGACGGCCUUCGGGUUGUAAACUCCUUUCACCAUCGACGCGGUAUCUGGAGAAGAAGCACCGGCUAACUACGUGCCAGCAGCCGCGGUAAUAC